GACCGAUAGAGAAUAAGUACCAUGAGGGAAGACUUCAGAAACAUCUGGUGAGCUUUGGCUCUUGUGCUGUUUUCUCUCACCGAAAAACUACUACUCUAUUACCUAUGGAGUACUAUAUACUAGUAUUUCCUUUGCUUUCCCCAAUUCUCAUAGACAAAGUUAUCCAGAAAAUAAAAAAGAAAAAAACAAGACCAUCCCUUCAGUCAUCACAUGUAAUACAAACCCUCUCUUCCCUCACCACAUCCACCUUCUUUUAUUUUCUUCUGGGCAUGUUCUUGAUUUUUGAUUAGCCACCUAACCUAAUUAUUAUUAACAUUUAUGACUAGAUGAAAAUGACGUUGAAAAUAGAUUCAAAGAGUGCUUGAAAUUGUCUAAAGAAAAGUGGAUGGGGGCCGGUGAUAUGCCCCGAUCGGAUGUGGGAUGGCGAUGAGCUGGUCCACCGAUCAACUUAAAGCAUGGACCAGCGGGGAUUCGGGGGAGGCCAAAUCCUGGGCUCUUAAUAUCUUUCGGAAUGCCAUCUCCUUGAUUGUGGCAGGCAGCGCGUGCCUCUAGUGUGCUUCGGCAUUGCACGCUUUGGACGCUGGCCUGUGGUCUCUCAUUCGACCUGUCUUGAAACACGGACCAAAGAGUCUGAUAUUUGUGUGAGUCAACGAGCGAGUAAACCCAUAAGGCGCAAUGAAGCAGAUUAGUGGCAUUCUCUUGAGGGGCUCACCGCCAAUUGACCUUAAUUUUCUAAGAAGGGUUUGAGUGUAAGCAUACCUAUCGGGACCUGAAACAUGGUGAACUAUGCCAGAGCGGGGCGAAGCCAUAGGAAACUCUGGUGGAGGCCCCCAGCUAUACUGGCGUGUUAACUGUUCGUCUUACUUGGGUAUAGAGGCAAAAUACUAAUCGAACCAUCUAGUAGCUGGUUCCCUCCGAAGUUUCCCUCAAGAUAGCUGGAGCUCACGUGUGAGUUCUAUCGGGUUAAGCAAAUGAUUAGAGGCCUCGAGUGCGCAACUCCCUCGACCUAUUCUCAAACUUUAAAUAGACAGGACGGCGUGGCUACUUUGUUGAGCUGCACCAUGGAACCAAGAGUUUCAAGUGGGCCAUUUUUAGUAAGAAGAACUGGCGAUGCGGGAUUAAUAAAAAGCUGGGUUAUGGUGCCAAAAUGUACGCUAACCUAGAUCCCACAAAGCGUGUUGCUCGAUUAAGACAGUAGAACGGUUUUCAUGGAACUCGAAAUAUGCUAAGGAGUAUGUAACAACUCACCUGCUGAAUCAACUAGCCCCGAGAAUGGAUGGCGCUGAAGCGCGUGACCUACACCAAUCCGUUGAGGCAAGUGUCAGGCCCCGAUAAAUAGGAGGGCACGACGGUCACUGCAAAACUUUGGUCAUGAGCUCAGGUGGAAAAGUCGUUGGUGGAAAUAUUGAUGGUAGUAGAAAAUAUUCAAAUGAGAAAUUUGAAGGCUGAAGAGGCUAAAGGUUCCAUGUGAACGGCACUUUCACUUAGGUUAGUCGAUCCUAAGGUUCAGGGGAACCCCGAUAGAUAGCGCAUUUCGUGCAUACUCCUAAAGAGAAUUAGGUUAAAAUUUUUUGAAUAGGGAUGUGGUGGUCGACAAAAACAUUAGAAAGUCUGGAGAUGUCAGCGGGAGCCUCGGGAAGAGUUAUUUUUUCUAUUUAAAAGCCUGCCCACCCUGAAAUCGGCUUAGCCAAAGCUAGGGUCCAGUGACUGGAAGAGCACCGCACAUCGCGUGGUGUUUGAUGUGCUCCCAGUGGCUCGUGUAAAUAUAAAAGACCAAAUGUUGUACAUUCCCGGUCGUACUCAUAACCGCAUCAGGUUUUCAAGGUAAACAGCCUCUGGUCAAUGGAACAAUGUAGGCAAGGGAAGUCGGCAAAAUGGAUCCGUAACUUUGGGAAAAGGAUUGGCUCUGAGGGCUGUGCACGGAUAUUCCAGUCCUGAUCCAUCGGCUUUUGGUUAGAAUGCUUGAGCUGCUCCCUUAGUGAGAGCAGGUUGUCGCGUGCCGGCUGGGGGACAAACUGGGAAGGGUUCCUUCGGGGGCCUUCCCCACACAUCAAAUAACCAACUCAGAAAUUGUACUAACAAGGGGAAUCCCGCUGUUUAAUUAAAACUAAGCAUUGUGAUGGUCCCAACGGAUGUUCACAUAAUGUGAUUUCUGCCUAGUGCUUUAAAUGUCAAAGUGAAAAAAUUCAACCAAGCACGGGUAAACGGAGGAAGUAACUAUGACUCUCUUAAGGUAUCCAAAUGCCUCAUCAUCUAAUUAGUGACACGCAUGAAUUUAUUAACGAUACUCCCACUAUCCCAGUCUACUAUCCAGUGAAACUACAACCAAAGGAAUGGGCUUAGCAGAGUCUGUGAGGAAAUAAGACCCUAUUGAGCUUGACUCUAGUCUGACUUUAUGAAAUAACUUUAGAGGCAUAGUAUAAAUGUGAUUCGAAAGGCGAAAGUGAAACACCACUACUUUUAACAAUGUUUUACUUAUUUCGUGAAUUGGAAGUGGGGCACUGCCGCUCUUUUUGGACCUAAGGCUCGAUGUACGGGCCGAACCAGGUAGAAGACAUUGUUAGGUGGGCAGUUUCGCUGGGUCAGCACAUCUGUUAAAGAAAUCUCAUGUGGAACAGAAAUGUAAAAGCUAGUUUGAUUCUGAUUUUUAGUACGAAUAUGAACCGUGAAAAUGUGGCCUAACGAUCCUUUAGACCUUUGGAAUUCGAAGCUAUAGGUGUCAAAAAAUUUACCACAGGGAUAACUAGUUUGUGGCAGCCAAGCGUUCAUAAGGACAUUGCUCUUUGAACUUUCGAUGUCGGCUCUUCUUAUCAUUGUGAAAUAGAAUUCACAAAGUGUUGGAUUGUUCACCAACCGAUAGGGAAUGUGAGCUGGGUUUAGACCAUCAUGAGAAAGGUUAGUUUUAUCCUAUUGAUUAUCAUACUUAUUUAACAUGGCUUUCCUCCUAACCAGUGCUUAAUUUAGCAUCGUGGUACGGCCCAAUUAACUUUUUCCUCCACCUAGAGGAUAUGAAUUUCACCUCCAACAUCAUAUCUAUUUUUUUUGCCUCGAUCAGAAGGAGGUGUUACAAACAUUUAGGAAUCGAUUAAUGGAAUAUGCAUGAUAAACCACUCAGCCUUGAAGAGAGGUGUGUUUUAUGUUACUUUUCUUGUGCAAAAUUAAGAAUAUAGGAUUCUUAUUCCUCAUCUUCACACUUUCCUACUGCUUUAAAU
rnacentral:rRNA from 1 species